rnacentral:sRNA from 1 species
CCUUCAUUGAGAUUGUCAGUGAUAAGGUGUAUGCGAUCCGUUGUCUUCGCAGGGAAUUGCCAGAUAACGUACAAAGCAAAAUACAAAUCUAUCCAUGCAAGCAUUGGCCGCUGGUUUAUCCGGCGGUUUUUUUUGCCCGUUAUUCAGGUAAAAAAAUGGCCCCUUGUGCAGUGAUGCAACAAGGGGCCAUGUCGGUGCAGCUUUAUCUCCGUUCAUUAGUCA